CUGUGAACAAAUCAGACAAUAGAAAUACAAGUCACAACCAAAACCUUAAAAAUUACAGAGAUUCUCGAACAUGAACAGAGGAUUUGUCUCCGAGGAAUUGAAUUUGGUUACCUGGAUUCGAAAACAUCCAAAGUAUGACUGCGCAG